ACCUGGCUGGCUCAGUUGGAAGAGUAUGUGACUUUUGAUUUCAGGGUCAUGGGUUCAAGACCCACGUUGGGUA